rnacentral:misc_RNA from 1 species
GGGCUUCACACACGAGCCGGCGGAGAAACUCGCCCGGCAUCUGGUUGCGAUCACGCCGCCGGAGCUUGAAUAUGUCUUCUUCUCCGACAGCGGAUCGACCUCAGUCGAAGUGGCGCUCAAGAUGGCAUUGGGCUACUGGCGUCAUCUCGGCGCCAAACGCAGCCGCAUCCUCGCGCUCGAAGGCGCCUAUCACGGUGACACCAUNAUGUCGGUGGGGGAACGCGGCGUGUUCAACGCGCCCUACGAUCCGCUGCUGUUUGACGUCG